UACGAAGGGGGCUAGCGUUGCUCGGAAUCACUGGGCGUAAAGGGUGCGUAGGCGGGUCUUUAAGUCAGGGGUGAAAUCCUGGAGCUCAACUCCAGAACUGCCUUUGAUACUGAGGAUCUUGAGUUCGGGAGAGGUGAGUGGAACUGCGAGUGUAGAGGUGAAAUUCGUAGAUAUUCGCAAGAACACCAGUGGCGAAGGCGGCUCACUGGCCCGAUACUGACGCUGAGACGCGAAAGCGUGGGGAGCAAACAGGG
rnacentral:rRNA from 1 species